rnacentral:rRNA from 1 species
UACGUAGGGGGCAAGCGUUGUCCGGAUUUAUUGGGCGUAAAGAGCGUGUAGGCGGCUUGGAAGGUCAGCUGUGAAAACUCGAGGCUCAACCUCGAGACGUCGGUUGAAACCACCUGGCUAGAGUCCGGAAGAGGAGAGUGGAAUUCCCGGUGUAGCGGUGAAAUGCGCAGAUAUCGGGAAGAACACCCGUGGCGAAGGCGGCCGGCUGGGCCACGACCGACACUGACGGUGCGAAAGCGUGGGGAGCGAACCGG